UGGGGAAUAUUGCACAAUGGGGGAAACCCUGAUGCAGCAACGCCGCGUGAGCGAUGAAGGCCUUCGGGUUGUAAAGCUCUGUCUUCCCUGACGAUAAUGACGGUAAGGGAGGAGGAAGCCACGGCUAACUACGUGCCAGCAGCCGCGGUAAUACGUAGGUGGCGAGCGUUGUCCGGAAUUAUUGGGCGUAAAGGGUGCGUAGGCGGUAGUUUAAGUGGGGCGUGAAAUCCCCGGGCUUAACCCGGGAGCUGCGCUCCAAACUGGACUACUUGAGUGCAGGAGAGGAAAGCGGAAUUCCCAGUGUAGCGGUGAAAUGCGUAGAGAUUGGGAGGAACACCAGUGGCGAAGGCGGCUUUCUGGACUGUAACUGACGCUGAGGCACGAAAGCGUGGGGAGCAAACAGG
rnacentral:rRNA from 1 species